UUCCAUUUUUCUCUUCUCCUGUUUGCUGUUCUAUUUUUUCUCUUUCACUUUGCUUUUUUGCUCUCAUUGUUUUUCUUUGCUUUUUCAUCAUCUUCUUCCAGGAUUUUAGGUUAAACUUUGUCCUGUUUUGUUGAUUUUAUGUUCGAUUGUUUUGAUAUUGCUUUCAAUUUUUGCUCCUUCAUAGUUAUGUGGAUGUAGGUAUGUUGCAUGCACAAAAUUCCUAUUUUGAAUCCACUUCUUCUUCAUCUCCUAUGCCCAGAAGUGUAGACCCGUCUCAAUUUUGCAUUGAUGAGUCAUAUUAUAAGAGAGUACAACAAAAAAAUUCUUCUGCCAUAUACCAACAAAGACCUCAAAAUUCAACUGGGUAUGAGACUAAACAAAAUGGAGCAACUUAGGUUUACAUGUGAUAGGGAUUUACAAAUUCAACAACAGAGUAUAGAUGCAGGCGCCAUCUCUUUUCGAAAAUCUUUGGAUUCAACCAACCUCCAAGCUGAAGAAACCCUUCAAUUCCAGGGUAAAAUUGAAAAUACUACAUUCUAAAAAGUAUCCGCCUUUGAAGGGCAUGGCUGCAUAUCUUGGAAAAUUGAAAACUGAGCUUAAUUAGAGAGGCAGAAGAUAAUUUAGUAAAAGCACUUACAGAUGUGUUGAAUUGGAAGGAAAGUAAUAAAAAGAAGAGCGUAAAGGUCUCUUUCUCACUAUGAAAAAUUCUUCAAAUGCACCUAAGGAUGUUUUCAACUUCAGUAGGAAUAAACAAGCGAGGAAUUGGUGGAAUUGAAGUUACUUGACGGUAUUGUGACUAUUGUUAGAUAAACAAAUCAUGGAAGAUCUGCCAUAUGGAUUAGUAGCUCAAGUGUUUUAUAUGGUAUUAUUGUUAGCAAGAUUCGAAAAAGAAAGUCGUACCUGCAUGUAACGAAUAUGACAUUUUUAUUUCAUGGAUUGGCUGUGAACACAACAAAUCAUUGAAGAUGUUGCAUUGGAGGUUAAAGAGAAAGUAAGUCAGUAUUGUUGUUGGUUCUCUCUUUUUAUACAUUACUCUGGGUGAUCUUUGCUUCUUCUCAAUUUGUUCUGUUAUACGGGUUAGUAGCUCAAGUGUUAUAU